rnacentral:rRNA from 1 species
GAUGAACGCUAGCUACAGGCUUAACACAUGCAAGUCGAGGGGUAACAAGAGGAAAGCUUGCUUUUCUUGUUGACGACCGGCGCACGGGUGAGUAACGCGUAUCCAACCUGCCUAUAACUAGGGAAUAACCUUGCGAAAGUAAGACUAAUACCCUAUGAUUUCCUUUGAUGACAUCAGAUUAGGAAUAAAGAUUUAUCGGUUAUAGAUGGGGAUGCGUCUGAUUAGCUUGUUGGCGGGGUAACGGACCAACAAGGCAACGAUCAGUAGGGGUUCUGAGAGAAAGGUCCCCCACAUUGGAACUGAGACACGGUCCAAACUCCUACGGGAGGCAGCAGUGAGGAAUAUUGGUCAAUGGGCGGAAGCCUGAACCAGCCAAGUAGCGUGCAGGAUGACGGCCCUAUGGGUUGUAAACUGCUUUUAUACAGGAAUAAAGUUAGCCACGUGUGGUUAUUUGUAGGUACUGUAUGAAUAAGGACCGGCUAAUUCCGUGCCAGCAGCCGCCGUAA